GGCUCUCGGACCGCGACCCCAGGUCAGGCGUGGCCACCCGCUGAAUUUAA
rnacentral:rRNA from 1 species